GUCGCUGGGAAGGGCGCGGGGUCGAGGGGCUGCGCAUGGGCAGCACGCAGCGCUCCGGAAGGCGACGGCAGUGUUAAGCUUUGGGCCUGCGCGCUGGAAGCCUUGCCUGAAGCAGGGGACUGCGUGAUUUCGGUGGGCACCCCAGGGAGAUCUGCUCUUGCCAUUUUUGAGGAUUUACCUUCAGCAAAGUUUUGGACCAUCGCGUUGAGAGACUGGAGGGAAGAUAAAACAAAUGAGGGGAAGAUAUCAACAUUUGGGGAAUCCUUAGUACUCUUCUUAUAAUCUCCCUGUAAGUCUGAAAUUGUAUCAAAAUAAGAAUUUUUUAAAAACA